GCGGUCAUAGCUCAGUUGGUUAGAGCACGGGAUUGUGGUUCCCGGGGUCGUCGGUUCGAAUCCGAUUGGCCGCC
rnacentral:tRNA from 1 species